UCCUUUCCCCUAUCCAAGGCAACGAAUCAGCUGCACGACCGCCGAAUCGCCUUGCCAUGACAACCGCAGCGGCAGUGGAGCCGGCGCCGCUCGUGCGGGCCCGCGCGUGCGCGGCCUCCGCUUCCUUCCCGCCCCCGCGCCGUCGAAGAGCUGCUGGAGCUAUCAGGGCAUCUCCCGUACCAGGCCGGACGGAAGCCGCCGCCGAGCUCCCCGCCCCGCUCCAGCCAAACGCGCGGCGGCGGGGACGCGACCCGCUCUGGCACGGCGGCGGGUUCAGCCUCGGCGUCGACCUCGGUGACGCCCGCACCGGCCUCGCCAUCGGGAGGGGGAUCACCUUCCCUCGACCCCUCACUGUUCUGAGGCUCCGCGGGCAGAAGCUAGAGCUUGCGCUGCUCGACGUGGCUCGGCAGCAGGAGGCGGACGAGCUCAUCAUCGGGCUUCCCGUGUCCGCUGAUGGGUCGGAGACACCGCAGUCCAACAAAGUGCGGAGCGUCGUCGGGAGGCUCGCCGUCCAAGCUGCCCAAAGGGGCUUGAGGGUUUAUCUGCAGGAUGAAUAUGGAACGUCCACGGACGCCCUAGAUUACAUGAUCUCCAGGGGUGUCAAGAAGUCUGCUCGUGACACCAAAUCUGAUGCAUAUGCUGCUGUGAUGAUUUUGAAGAGAUAUUUCACGUCUUCAGGUCGAGGGGCUAAGAUUGUUCUCCCCAGGCAACCAGAGUUACAGGACAAGCUAAUGGUUCAGUCUAGACAAGAUGCUGAAGUUUAGAGAGGCAUGUCUUCUAUUUUCUCCAUAGUAGAGAACAUGUCCAGUUGAGGGCACCUCAUUUUCUAUACCAUGUCAUCCGCUGUGAUGUAGAUGAUUGUUUGAGAUAUUGUAAUUGUACUGCAUCAAAAACACAAGCUGUUUUUAAACCUGGUCCUGUUUGCAAAUUGAGUAUCAUCCCAAAACAAAACUCAGUAACAUAUUCAUUGUUGCAUUUCAUGAUUUUUUCCCCUGGGUAUCCUACCUAGAUUACUUCUUUCUGAACUCUAGUGUAACUUAGCUCUGUUAAGCAAAUCUGUGACAUAUUUUACCUUAUAUAGCACUUUAUCAGAUCAUGUAUUUACAUAGUUUACAUCAUGGAGAGUGCAAAAAAGAAUUUGCUCAAAAAUAGUCUGGACAGUCCAAGUGGGCAUGAAAUAAGGUACGUAGUACUUCACAACAAUCCCCUAUCCCGUCUCAUGCAGCAAAUAUGCUUUUUUUCAAUUCAGUACAACUGACCUGUCUUUCCUGGAUCUGCAUCUAUCAUGGUUGCUGCAGGCAAUGUUUAUACAUUACUAUGAGUACACAAUGGAAUGCCUGAGCAAAAACCACCAGCAUCAAUCGAGAAUUAACUGAUCCGGAUCAUCUGUUCAUAUGGUGAUGAAGCAUCCCAAAUCUGUGCGUAAAAGAAUCAGUACAGCUUGCUGAAUUCAGUCUCCUGUGCUGGUUCACCAAUCCGGGGGAAGAAUGAAUCCCUCUCAAGCAUCGUCUGCAGUGAGUCCAUCAUCCUCACCAUGGAUGCCCACAAGAUUGGCGCAGAGCAAAAUGCAUAUCCAAAGACCGCCAGAGCCCUCACAACACCAUCAUGGUACCAUGGGAAUGCCAUAACGAUGAGCAUGCCCACAAUUGCAAGCCACGUUGUAAGCACAUCAAGUGGCGGGAGCAGAAAAACAUUGAUAACGAGCACUGACAAGGCAAGCGCGCCAAAUAGGUAGACGGACCAGCCCAUGAUCGGGUGGACUGUGCGUGGGACCACAAAGAAUGGAAUGGAAUAUGCAGCCACCAUAGCCGCAAUUGCAGCCAGCUUGAUCAGCCACUGCACCAGGGCACUUUGCUUCUCAGGCCGUCGGUUAUAGCACAGUUUGGUGAUCCCUGGCCUUGCCAAUCUGGUGACUGCUAUGAUAACUAUGUACAUCAAAAGCUCCAUCAGAAUCACUGGCAUUUCAGCAGCAUACCUGUGAAAUGUAAGCAGGUAAUUGUUUAGUGGAUAGAACAUAAAAUGAAUUUUCUGUCGGCUCAGGUACACAUAUUUGCUUCUGUGCUGUUUUAUUGACUCACCCAAGAUCGUCCCAGCGCUGCUUGUGCCAGGAAAGACCUAAUGGCAAGACCGGCCAGGACCACCAGUACCAAGGUUUAAACCAAGGUGCGCUGGGGAAUGUGAUGACACUGUUUGGCCCACAGGGGACAUGCCAAUGUAGCUUGAGAUCUGCAGUGUUAAAUCAAAAGGGUGGUUGAAAUUUUCAGAAGCAAUAGCUGCAGGCAGGUGCAUUGGUAUUGAAGCUGUGUAGCUGCAGCACUCACAGUAGUAUGACGCAUCCAUUUGAUAGCCAAGAGGAAGGCGAUAGGUCCCAUUGAGCUUUGUGCCAUUCUCAGGAGGGUGAAACAUUGGUUUGUCGAGCAAGUCUGGGUAGCACCCAACCAAAAAGCCUUGGUCAGCACCAUCAGAGUUUUCACGGCCAGUCUCCAGGUCAUGAAGCAUGCUUCUGAAUACAUCAAUAGAAGGCUGCAGAUUGAAGAAGAGUCCAAUAUUAGUCUGGUUGGCCAUUACAUGUCUGAGCACAACAUAUCUCAGUGUGUGAGUUUAACAAGAAUCAAGUUAUGGAUGGUGGGAAUUUUCUUUUCAAUGGAUCAUUCAUACUGGAAGAAGACGUAUACUUCAGCUUUGGGGGUCACAAGUGGAACAACGAAAGUUCAGUACAUACCUGGAGCACGAAAAGACCGGUGUGGAAGUAGCACGGGUUGAUGAAAACAGCACAGAACUGUCCACAUUGGAAUAGCUCGUCUGUGUUCUGGAGGAAGAUGUUAUCGGAAUCAAUCAUGACGACACGCUCGUAGUCCACCAGGGUCCAGGCAUAAAGCUUGUUCAGUGUCAGCUUGAACCUCUUGUUGGUCCCUCCUAGGUUGCUCUCGUAAGGAUUCCUGAGGUUCUCCACUAUCAACACCCUCAUGCCAUCCUCUUCUGUCCUGCAUACGUCCCCUUGUAUUGUCAAUAGGUGUCUCGUUUCAUUUCGCAUUUUGCAUUCAAAAUUCCUAGUUCGUUGAAACAAGUCUUCGUACGAAAGUAAAACAAGUAAGAAAAAAAAUGUCCCGUUGACCCUUGUGAAACGA